rnacentral:misc_RNA from 1 species
GAUAGGUAGCAGUACGCAAGGCAGAGCCGGCCACAGACCGCAGACUUCAGACCUACCUAUCCUAAAGACAAGGGCCGCCAAAGAAAUUGCAAUAAGCGCCGAUGAAUACGAUGACAAUUGACAAUUGCAAAACUGAAAGAAAAAAGGGAUAAGCCCAGCACAUCUCCACCUAAUACUCGUACUGUCUCUCUCUCGUUUUUCACAAAAUGACGAAGGUAUCUUUGAAGGGCAGGUAUGAAAAUGACAAAAGCAGCGCAGCAGCUACUGUUGCCUUCAACGCCGGCGAUGUCAAGCUCCGGGCUUCCAUGACCGACGCCACUGUCGUCAAUGGCCCGAGCUUAAACGGCUUGGUUUUAGCUGUCGAGAAACCCGGCUUCUUCAUCGUCGACUACAACGUUCCCAAAAAGGAUUUUCGGUUUCAGUUUAUGAACACAGUUAAGGUUGCUGAUAAGCCCUUGAACCUGACAUACAUUCACAGCAGAGGGGAUAACCGCACGAUAUUAGAUGGGGCUCUUGUGUUUGAUUCAGCCAAUAAGGUUUCCGCAAAUUACAUGCUUGGUACAGGGAAUUGUAAGUUGAAGUAUACUUAUGUGCAUGGAGGGGCAACCACAUUUGAACCAUGCUAUGAUUUGGCAAAGAAUUCUUGGGAUUUUGCCGUUUCACAGAAGGUUUAUGCUGAUGAUGUGUUUAGGGCUACAUAUCAAACAUCAAGCAAGGCAUUGGGAUUAGAGUGGUCAAGAAAUUCAAAAUUUAAUGGCAAUUUUAAGGUCUCCGCAUCCCUCAAUUUGGGUGAGGAAUCAAAAGUGCCGAAACUAAUUGCUGAGAGUACAUGGAACUUUGAGAUGUGACAUGUUCUUUGUUUAUAAUUACAUUUGUUAGAUGUUGCAUUGGAUUGCUGCACCCCUAAUAGCUUUAAGCUUCUUUUUGUCCUUCAAUAUUGUUUAUAAUUGUGAUUGAGCUGAUUACCUGGCAAGGGGGCAGUUUCCAUGGCAUCAAUUGUCAAGCUGUUUAUUUCUGUUUUGCAAAAUGAUACUUUCUGUUGGUUUAGAAUCUUGUAGCUUUACCUAUGUACUGUAUACGUAAGCAGGCAAGAUUUUGUCUGUAAGUUUUGGUGUGAUCUAUUUAAGGUUUGUGGAAUGGAAACGCGAUUAUCAAAA